UGGGACGUCGCCAAGUGGUAAGGCACAUGGUUUUGGUCCAUGCAUUCGGGGGUUCGAAUCCCUCCGUCCCAGCCA
rnacentral:tRNA from 1 species